GGGACCUGCGGUGCAUUAGCUAGUUGGUAGGGGUACGGGCCUACCAAGGCGAUGAUGCAUAGCCCGAGUUGAGAGACUGAUCGGGCCACAUUGGGACUGAGACACGGGCCCAAACUCCUACGGGAGGCAGCAGUAGGGGGAAUCUUCCACAAUGGACGCAAAGUCUGAUGGAGCAAAACGCCGCGUGAGUGAAGAAGGGUUUCGGCUCGUAAAAGCUCUGUUGUUGGUGAAGAAGGACAGGGGUAGUAACUGACCCUUUGUUUGACGGUAAAUCAAUUUAGAAAGUCACGGGCUAACUACGUGCCCAGCAGCCGCGGUAAAU
rnacentral:rRNA from 1 species